CAGCAGCCGCGGUAAUACAGAGGGUGCAAGCGUUAAUCGGAAUUACUGGGCGUAAAGCGCGCAUAGGUGGUUUGUUAAGUUGGAUGUGAAAGCCCCGGGCUCAACCUGGGAACUGCAUCCAAAACUGGCAAGCUAGAGUACGGUAGAGGGUGGUGGAAUUUCCUGUGUAGCGGUGAAAUGCGUAGAUAUAGGAAGGAACACCAGUGGCGAAGGCGACCACCUGGACUGAUACUGACACUGAGGUGCGAAAGCGUGGGGAGCAAACAGGAUUAGAUACCCCAGUAGUCCCUGUCUCUUAUAA
rnacentral:rRNA from 1 species